UCGUCACAAGAAUUUUGCAUUGGUUACCAUUUAGUUUUCACCAGUUGUUAAAGACUAACCCUAAACCUGAUCUAAACUUGAUCCACACCUUAGUUCUACACCUAAACCGGCUUAACCAAAGUACAGCACUUCAUGUUAUGGGGUCCAGAGCCAGGGUCCUCAUAACCUAGUAUCUAUUGAAACAAAUAGGCAUUAAAAGGUGGGGAAUGCUAAAACACACACUCUCUACACACGCAGAUAUUCACUUGGUUAAGGUGUGUACACCAUGUUGGGCUGUGGCUGCCACUGAAUGCAUCUCAUCACUGAGCAUCAUGAGCCUUCAGUGACGUUGUUGUUACAUGCAUAAUGUUUGUCACUGAGGUUUAUCGCCUCUGUUUUUUCUCUCUUUCUGCAGGUGUAGAAGCAGAUUCUUGUACCUUUCCUCACGUUUUUUUCUGUUGCGUUUUUCUCUUUUUUCUCCGUCUCUGUGUCUAUUGCAUUUGAAAUAAACACAAAGCAAUUUAUCAUUUUUAUCUUUAUAUCAAGUGGGGCAUUAUAACGAAAGCUGUAACACUCUACUUGUGAAAGUAAAUCUGUUGCGUUUUUCAAUUCUGAGUGCCGCCGCUGAACCGUACAAGGGAAAAUGAAUAUAUAAGUACAUAAAGCCCAUGCAUGCAGUCAUAUAUUGACAUUAUGGUCACCAAAAAUGCUGUUAUUUUUCAGUGUACAGCUGAUUGGUUUAGAUCAGACAACAAGCACAAACAUUGCAUUUAAUAGAUGCUGCUGUUUAAAUAA